ACGUGGCAUCUUCUAAAGCUUUGAAUCGCUCUCCAUCGAAUUUGAUGAAACAUUAUUAUAAGGCUGGGCUAUUUUUUUUUUUUUUUUUUCGACAAACUUAAAUUUUAUUAAUAUGAAAGCAUAAUAUCUGAAUACAAAGUUGGAGUUAACCACUUAGGUGGAUAAACUUUACAAUUUUCAAAAAUAGAAUUUGCUGGACCAUGGCGAACAAUUUCAUGCGCGGCUUGAUUUCCAUUACGUUUGACAAAAGUAAAUGUUAUUGUAUAAGGCUGGGCUAUUUAUUUCCUAUCUUUUUCAUUUAGAAUUUUGUGCUAAUCCGGUUUUUAAUAUUGGGCUUUAUUUGUAGAUUGACUCUGGCCCAAUCUGGUGGUGUCUUCCCCAAAACGUGUGAGAUUAAAGAUUGACACAGGCGCCGCCGACAAGCAGCAGCUGGUAUCCCUUCCGUCAAUGAAGAUCAGUGUUUACCGGGCGAUUAGAAUGGCAAAAUCCAGUCUGCUACUCGGUAAUUUGAAUGUCGGCCGUUAGCUCUACCGCUGAAGUGUGUAUCCUGAGAUUUGGGAGGCUCGCAACGCUAGGAAAGCUGGUGAGACCAUGUGCGCCGGUAUGCUCCUCUUCAACACAAAGGUAAAAGCUUCAACGAUUCAAUUGCCUUCGUCAAGAUAACAUAAUCGUUGAAUCCGAUACCUCAAGAACUUUUCGGAAAUCACGAGCAAGGCUCAUCUUUAAAUCCAUCGGUGGUGAAUCUACAUCUUAGCACCCUUAUAAGCAGCUGCCAUGAUUUACGUGUUAUAGCUUGAAUGUAUAACUUUUGUUUUAUAGACGGUAGGUGUUGGGGACCCUAAGGAUUUCAAAACGACAAAUGAUUUCGUUUCAAGACAUGAGGGAGAGAGCAAAACAAGAGGCAUGAACCCGAAAAGCAGAGGAAAUGGAGGAGAAGCACGUGUCUAAUGUGAAGCUGGAGAAGUUACAGCUGCAAAGAUCCAAGUUAUAAAAGAAGUGAGAGCAUUUACGAGUUUGGGUCUCAAGGAAUAUAAGGAGAGAACCAACUAUAAAAUUUGAAGAUGUUCCAUAUCUUUUGAAGUAUAAAGUUUAUCUUUGCAAGCCCACUCUUGAGUAUGAUCGAUUGCUCAUCUACAUUGUUAACCACCUUUCUGAGAAUUUAUUUGCGGAACUAGAGACAUGAUUUGGGAUAUAUAUUACGACAUGUUGAUGUUUAAGGUUUUCUUUAACAAAAAAUCUAUUCCACUUACACGUUACACUCAACCCAAACCACAUAUAUAUAACAUUGCUUACGUACAUUAUAGAUUAUAUAUAAGAGCAAUUUCAAAUAAAACCAAAAUAUAUUAGAAAGUUCACUAUUUUGUUUUGUAAUAAAAGAUUAUCAAAAAAAUUAAAGUAUACAGCAUAUAUAAUAGAGUCAACGUACAAAAAUCAAAUAAAACUAAUACAAAAUAAAAACUAAUACAGUAAAAACAAAAAGAUUACUAAUUGUAUUCUGAAAUUUAAUCUAAUAACAUUUAUUCCAAAAAAAAACAAUAGGUAGAUGCAGAAUAACUUUUCUAACCUGAACCAUCAGCUGCCAUGAAACGUCUAAGACUUUCAGUUACGUUUUCAGCAUCUGACGGCAUUCCAACGUUUCCUUUACAAAAAAACUAAUAACAUUAAGUUAAUUGCAACUAACAGUGAACUAAAUUAUAGUGUGGUUAUUUAACCCAAAGGGAAAAAAAUGAGACAAGUAAAAUCUUUCACAACUUUUACCCGCAUUGCAACGAAGUAAUUCCAAUAACAGGAAGAGCUAAGUAGUACAAAUAAAUAACAAGUAGCAUGUGGACUUAAAAAUAUGAAUACACUUUUAGAAAUUUACACCCAAUAAUGAGAUUAUGACUCUUUUCACCAUGUUUAGAGUGGGAAUUGAGUGUUUCGAAUUGUUCUUAUUAUACUCUGUCUGAACAUUAAUAUUACAUAAAACACAUACGACCCCACAUUAACGACACAUACAUACUUUUAAAUUUUAAUAUUUAAUCAGUAAAUAACCAACAAUAGCUAAGACUUUAAGUUUUCAGGUUAUAACUACGUAACGGUUACUACCUUUCCUCUUCGCCUCUUAACUCUUUCCUUGACUCUUAAGAAACUAUCAGCCUAACUUGAGAACAUACUCAUCUCCACGCACCCUACCAAGGUGAAGCAGAGCUUGCUGUUAGACGUACCUACACAUAACACCAUGGUGAAGAAGCCUCCUCGGGCCAACCGGCUUGAAAGCAUCAAACUCCAAUAAAACAAACACUAUAUAAAACUAAAACAGAACAUCUACAAUCACCGGAAAGAAUUGUAACACAUAUCACAAUCAAACAAACAUGGCAAUACUAGAAAAUUAAGUACACUAAAUAUCUUACCAACUUUACGUAAAGAAAACACACAUGAAAGCCAAAUCAAUAUGAAAAAUAAUUAACAACACUAUAAAAAUAUUAGUUAUUCUUAUUUUAGAUUUUCUUCGAUGUCAAAUUGAAAUAGAAAUCAAAUAAGAAAAAUAUAAACCAUUACAUUUCCAUUAUUUAUUAUUUUCAAUAUAAAUUAAAUUUCUAAAUAUUUUAUAAAGUUUAAAUAUAUUUUAAUAUAAAAUAGUUUUAGUGUAAACUCACCCGCCCGUAGGCCAACCCCUAGUAAAUGGAUAUAGUUAAGAAAACACAAACAGAACAAAAAGAAGCAUUAUAGAAGACAACAAAUACCUUGUAUUUUGCUA